rnacentral:rRNA from 1 species
GACGAACGCUGGCGGCGUGCUUAACACAUGCAAGUCGAACGGAAAGGCCCUGCUUUUGUGGGGUGCUCGAGUGGCGAAAGGGUGAGUAACACGUGUGUAACCUGCCCUUGACUUUGGGAUAACUUCAGGAAACUGGGGCUCAUACCGGAUAGGAGCUCCUGCCGCAUGGUGGGGGUUGGAAAGGUUCGGCGGUUGGGGAUGGACUCGCGGCUUAUCAGCUUGUUGGUGGGGUAGUGGCUUACCAAGGCUUUGACGGGUAGCCGGCCUGAGAGGGUGACCGGCCACAUUGGGACUGAGAUACGGCCCAGACUCCUACGGGAGGCAGCAGUGGGGAAUAUUGCACAAUGGGCGGAAGCCUGAUGCAGCAACGCCGCGUGCGGGAUGACGGCCUUCGGGUUGUAAACCGCUUUCGCCUGUGACGAAGCGUGAGUGACGGUAAUGGGUAAAGAAGCACCGGCUAACUACGUG